rnacentral:rRNA from 1 species
GACGAACGCUGGCGGCGUGCCUAAUACAUGCAAGUAGAACGCACAGUAUAUACCGUAGCUUGCUACACCAUAGACUGUGAGUUGCGAACGGGUGAGUAACGCGUAGGUAACCUGCCUGGUAGCGGGGGAUAACUAUUGGAAACGAUAGCUAAUACCGCAUAAUAUUAAUUAUUGCAUGAUAAUUGAUUGAAAGAUGCAACUGCAUCACUACCAGAUGGACCUGCGUUGUAUUAGCUAGUAGGUGAGGUAACGGCUCACCUAGGCGACGAUACAUAGCCGACCUGAGAGGGUGAUCGGCCACACUGGGACUGAGACACGGCCCAGACUCCUACGGGAGGCAGUAGUGGGAAUCUUCGGCAAUGGACGAACGUCUUACCGAGCACCGCGGUGGGGGGGAAGCAUGUCGU